UACGAAGGGGGCUAGCGUUGCUCGGAAUCACUGGGCGUAAAGGGUGCGUAGGCGGGUCUUUUAAGUCAGGGGUGAAAUCCUGGAGCUCAACUCCAGAACUGGCCUUUGAUACUGAAGAUCUUGAGUCCGGGAGAGGUGAGUGGAACUGCGAGUGUAGAGGUGAAAUUCGUAGAUAUUCGCAAGAACACCAGUGGCGAAGGCGGCUCACUGGCCCGGUACUGACGCUGAGGCACGAAAGCGUGGGGAGCAAACAGG
rnacentral:rRNA from 1 species